CAAAAAUUACAAAUUGUAUUAAGUGAAAUGCUGCGAUUACUAGUAAUUCCAUGUGGGGACUAGCUAACAGUCGUGGGUCGUGGGUAAAAAAUUGUGGGUAAAAAAUCGUAAGUCGUGGGUAAAAAGUCGUGGGUUGUGGGUAAAAAGUCUUGGGUCUUGAGAAAAAAGUUGUUGCUAACAGUCGUGGGUAAAAAGUUGUGGGUCGCGGGUAAAAAGUUGUGGAUCGUUGGGUUGGAAAAAUACAAAAAAAAAAUGAGCGCGCGAAGCAGCGCGCUCGUAUAAUUAUGAUUAUACACCCCCUCCCACACCCCC